AUGGAAGCAGACAAGAAACCGCGCUUGCCCCGGUCACCGUGGUCAGACCUCCCGCUGGACAUAGGAGGCCUGGUGUUCAGCCGGCUCCCCCGGUACGCUGACCGCACCGCCUUUGCUCUGGUGUGCCCGCAGUGGCGUGACGCCGCGAGGCAGCAGGUCCUGACCCUGCCACUGCCGGUGCUCGCGCUCCCAGACGGCACCUUCUACAGCAUCUUCUACCCUAAGCUCUAUUCCUUCCCUGGCUGCGGUUUCGCGGGGUACGAGAGUGUCUGUGGCAGCUGGCUCGUCUUCCCACGUGACGACGGCUGCUUCCUGGUCAAUCCCUUCUCCAGGGCCAGCUUCAUGCUCCCUGCUCUCUCCAGUGUCCGACUCCGGCCUCCAAAUGCAGUCGCUAAGUGGUCACUCGAGGAUGGGUCACAAGUUGCUGACCCUUACACCACAUGGAUGCAUAUCAAUACAUCGGAAAAGCUGCACAUAAGUAAGCUACUCCUGUGCUCGCCAAACCUUGUUGCUGCACUGGUUGGCACUGGACACACCAGCCAGAUUCUAAUGUGCCAGCCAGGGGCCUCGUCGUGGUCAGUACGUGCUUACGAUCAGUGUAAGGGGUUCGAAGACAUGGCAUUCUACCAGGGCAAGCUCUACGCCAUUGCCAAUGACGAGAACCUCCUUGUGGUGAACAUCAGCCAGGACCAUAGCACCGGCGAUCCACAGGUUUCUCGGAUUAGACAAAUCAUCAAGGGUGAGCCAUGGUAUCCAGCUGUGUCCGAGGACAACACUAUGUGCUGCAAGAAGCUUUACCUGGUUGAAUCGCAUGGGGUGUUGCUGAUGGCACGAAGGGCGAUCUUGUGCCGGGUACCUGGACCUGGAGCAGUGCCCAGUGAAGUAGUUCCUGGAAUGAGCGGGUUUGAGGUUUUCAAGGCCGACCUUGAGCAUUCACAGUGGGUCAAGGUGUCGACCGUGGGGGAUGACCAACUGCUGUUUCUAGGGCGAAGGUGCUCCAGGGCCAUGUCUGUGUCUCAGUACGGGUUGCCCGGUGAUUAUAUCCUCUUCUUGGAUGAUGAUGAGGAGAAUCGUAUGGACUAUUGCUACGACAGGGAGAACACUUCUUUCGGCGCCUAUAAAAUGGGAUCCGACGGUGUCCUUUUCCCUCAUCCCUAUAUUUCCUGGAAGCUUUGCGAUGAGAUGCGUCUGGCUGCAUGGCUCUUCCCCCGGGACCGAUGA
rnacentral:rRNA from 1 species